GGAGGGGUACCCGAGUGGACAAAGGGAGCAGACUGUAAAUCUGCCGCCAAUAGGCUACGGGGGUUCGAAUCCUCCCCCCUCCACCA
rnacentral:tRNA from 1 species